AACCCGAAAACUAAUUUUCCGUUUGUUUCAAUUAUUUAUCUGCACGUAUACAUCCAAUCACUAUAGAAUAAUUUUCAAAAAGAGAAGUAAUGUAAACAUCCAAUCAAUUCUCAUGUUCUGUUAUGGAUAUGUCCAUAGCAAUUCAAAGUGUUCGCCUAAUCUUAGACGAUAGAAAAUUGCACAGUUUAACUAUGAAAAUGAACAAGAGAAACAGAAAUGCUACAGCCAUCAACAGCACAAAAACCAAGACGAUCUCUGAGGUUACUUCAUCCAAGAUGGUGGAAAGCAGUGCGUUCUUCAUGGUUGAAGAAGUGGAGCAACGUAAAGCUUGAUCGAAGAGGAGAAGUGAAAUAUAUGUGAAAGUUGCUUACGAUAUUGUGUGCUUUCAUUGUGACUUGCCAGUAAUUCGAAUAAUAAUUUUUAAAUUUAUUUUUUAUUUAAUUUAAAAUAAUUAAUUUAAAUUAUUUAAUACUUUUAUACUAAUUAUAAUAUAUAAUUUUACUUUUUCCUUAAUUUACCAUUUGGGACGUGAUAUUCAAUUCCACCACUUGAUUCCAAAAGAAAACCCUAGAAUAUCAACCAAAUGAGUUGAGUUCAAAGAACCGGAUCUCUAACAAGCGCUGCUCCACCUGCAAGACAAACGGUCGCAUCACCGAGAGGAAGAGACGGAACAUCAAAGAGCAAAUCACCAUCUAUAGAUGAAAUCAUUAGAGCUCUCAAAAGAAAGAGUUUCUACUCUCAACUACCGAAUCUACAUCUUUAGAAACAGAGGAAGCAGAGAGUCGAAUUUAAAGAGGGAGGUAUCAAAACCAAAUAUUUCACAGAGAAUAGAGGAGGCGGUGUGUUCUUUGGCAUCUCUCUCGCACCUCCCUUAUACCCUAUGAACCUCUGCCAGCAAGAGUCACCAUCUACACUCUUCACCCGAGUUUAGACUAUAUGGAACUAGGUCUUUGGUUUUCUAAAAACACUUGCAGAAAAACAAACCCAAGAAGCAAAGCAAAAACACAAAAGAAGCACAUCAAAUAUUUCGAGGAGCUUGCUUUGUUUCACAAGAAAACAACAUCCAAGAUAAAGGACAAUCUCCAUUCAUGCAGCUCAAAGCAACUCAUAAGCACAUACAGUAAAUCAAAAACCAAGUCUCCCUAUCAAAGCUUUUCAAAUCUGUGACCUAGAAAACACAAAAACUCUAUACAACCCACCCAAAACCCAACUCUAUACAACCCACCCAAAACCCAAAAAAUGUAAUAUCUAGUUGCUUUCCGCUCCACAUAUAGAUAAUUCUGAAUCAGACAAAUUGUUCAAAACUAAUUGAUAUAAGUAAAGGGCUAUCUGUAUGAGACGAGACGGAGCCGCUCGAAAUAUUAGCGAACCACACCACAGUACUCAGAGUUCGGUCUUGAUUUGAUUCUGAUUUAGAUUUAGUAAUGGUAUCCGAUUCGAUUACUACGAGAACGUUUCAAAUUUAUUUAGCAUGGAGAGAAUGAUAUCCAAUGCUUUCCAUUCCACAUCGACUGAUCCUGAUUCGAUUUAUGACUAAAACGUUGCAAAUUUAGUAAGGAAGAACUGCGUCCCAUCCCACAUUUACGGUUUACGGCACAUUCACAGUUUACUGCAAAUUGACCGGCAAAUUAAAAUUGUGAUGACGGGUUACGGCAAAUCAAAAUUGUGAUAUCUAGUUGCUUCAAAAUUGUGAUGGUUUAUAGCAAAUCAAAAUUGUAAUAUUCAGCCCUUUUCCAUCCCAGGAGAGAGCGUGAUAUCUGGCUGUUUCUCAUUUCAGAAAAUAGUGUGAUAUCCAGCUACUUUUUGUCCUACAUCGACAGUUUACGGUAAAUCGAACCCUGAUUUGGUCCUAAUUUAAUAAUUGUAUCUGAUUCGAUUGACGGUUUACAACAAAUUGAACUCUGAUUUGAUCUUAAUUUAGCAAUUGUAUCUAAUUCAUUCAGUUGCAACGAGAACGUUACAAAUUUAGCAGCGUGUGAUAUCCAGCUGCUUGCCGUCCCAGUAGAGGUGAGUAUUCGGUCGGUUCGGUUCAAAAUCGAACUGAACCAAAUAAACCUAAUAUCAAAAUUUUAGUAUUUAUAAAAAUCAAACCGAAUCGAUUUUGGUCAGAAAUUAAAUCGAAUCGAAUCGAUCUGAUUCAAUUUGAUUCAGUUCGGUUUGAUCGGUUUCGAUUUUUAAUAAAUUUUUUAUUUUUUACACUUUAUUUUUAAUAUUUUAAAAUUUAAUUAAAAUAUUUUAAUUUUAAUAUAAUUUAAUUUCUCCAUAUAAUUAAAAAUAACAUAUUAUUAUCACUAAUCGGUUCGGUUUGAUUUUUUUGAUUUUUUCUGAUCAAAAUCGAACCGAACCAAAAUAACCGAAAUUUUUGAAAUUAAAAAUCAAACCGAACCGAAUUGAAUAAAAAACUGAACCGAAUUUUGAAAUUAAUUCGGUUCGGUCUAUUUUUUCGGUUUGAACCGAAUGCUGCUCACCCUACGUCCCAUGGGGAGAGUGUGAUACACGAAAUUGCUAAAUAACUUGGGUUAACCAUUUUGGACCAAGUAAAAAGUUGAUCCAAAAGUUAUUUUGGUCAGUUUGAACCGGACUGUUUCACACAAACUGGAUUUAAAAAGGAGAGGGCGGAGGAACCACUUUUCGAAUAGAAAAGGAGGUAUUAUCUCCGACCUGAAGGGGCUAGGUCAGACAAAUUGUCUAGAGUUAGUGCACCUGCGAGAAAAGGGUUACAUGUGUGAGACGAGGUGGAGCCAUCGAAAUAUUAGCGAACCACAAUACUCAAGGGUUCGGUCCUGAUUUAGCAAUUGUAUCCGAUUCAGUUGCGACGAAAACAUUGCAAAUUUAGCAGAGAGAGUAGCUGCUUCCCGUCCCACAUCAACGGUAUAAUGGUUAGUACUAAACUAUUAAAUAAUUUGUAUUAAUCAUUUUAAAACCAAUAGAAAGUGAGUCUAAAAGUUAUUUAGAUUAGUUUGCGUUUAAAUGUUUCACAAAAAGUAGAAAGGAGUGAGAGAAGGAACCCACUUUUCGAGUUGGAAAAGAGGUAUCCUCCCCAACCUGAAGGGGCAGGAAACAACUGAUAGAGCGGCGGUACUAGAAUGACGAAGGCUCAAACACAAAGAGGCUAAAAACAAUAAGAAAUCUUUCUCUCUUUAACUUUUGGAGAAAGCGGGAAGUUUUUUUUAAUAAAAAUAAAGAAACUCACACUGGAAAAUAAAUUAAUUCAUAAGGUAAGUUUUAUACAUAUAUAUCUUUAACCAUAAAAAAACCUGAGAGGUUGCUUUUUAAAUCUCUAUCAGCCAUGUAGUGAUGCAUGAGUUAUGAGGCCCUUGUUGUCGCCUUUAUUGCAAUCUCACAAGUGAUUGUCUAGUGAACCGUCGAGAGCAUCCACCUUUAACCUCUUGCAACUCAGCUCAGAUUGAACACAUGAUUGUCUUAAUUAUCAGUUCUUCAACCUCUUACAACUCAGCUUCCAAAAACCUUCCAAUUUAUUACAACUAUUAAACAAAUAUUACUGAGUUCUACAGAAAUUAUUAUCUAUAUUUGUCUCAUGGUUUUGCUACAUAUAAUUACAAAAACAGGUAAACUAGCAGCACUUAUGAAUGUUCCUUUCCUGAAAAGACUACCUUGGCUGGGGAAAUAGUCCAGAAGACAGAUCCACGUUCGUAAAUUCAAUAGAAUUACUAUUUGAUUGACUACGUCCCUCUCUUGUUCGAGCCGUCUCUGUUGCUAAACACUCGUUCAGUUCCACCAACACUUGGCUCAUAGUUGGUCUUUCAGCAGAAAUUUCAGAAACGCAAGCCAUUGCAAGUUCUGUAACUUUCCAGACAGAAUUAGUGUCGAAAUCUCCAAGCAAUCUUGGAUCAGAAAUGGUCUUAAUAUCUCCUUUGUCAAGCAUGGAACUAACCCAAGUGCUCAGAUGAGUCCUGUCACCAGUUUUGGCAAUCACUGGUCGGCUUGUAAUGAUCUCUAGAAGAACAACUCCAUAACUAUAAACAUCGCUUUUUUCAGUCAACCAGUUUGUUACAUGGUACCUACCAACCAAAACUUGUAAUUAAUUUCUAACAUAAAAACUAAGGAGUAAUUCUCGUCCAAAUCGGAUUUAUUAUUAAUGUUUGUUAUGAUCUUAUUUAAAACUUUUUUUUUAUUUUAAAUUAUAAAGUAAUAUCUACAAAAAUUAUAAAUAUAAUAUUGACUUGUAAAUUAAUGAAAAAUGAGUUGAAUUGUUCAAAUUUAGUAAUAAACAAAUUAAAUAUAUCGUUCAGCAUGCCUAUUGCCUUAUUCUUAAGUUUGUGACAGGUAUGCUGCUUGAGACUUACUCGGGAUCCAGGUAGCCUGGAGUGCCAGCAACAGUUGUCGACACAUGAGAGCCAUCUUCGGUUGGAAAAAUUCUGGACAGCCCAAAAUCAGCUAAUUUGGCUUGGAAAUUACUGUCCAACAAGAUGUUUGUAGUCUUCACGUCUCUGUGCACAAUUGGCGGCUUGCAGCCAUUGUGAAGAUACUCCAAUCCUGCAUUUUCCAUUUUAAUGCCAUUUUCCAUAAAAUGAACAACAAAAUCUCGUACAUGUUUGAUUACUGACCUUGUGCUGCGCCAAUGGCUAUUCGAAGUCUCUCCUCCCAGCUUAAGAUAUUUACUGGGUCAUCGCCUGCAUUCAUACGAAGAAUUUUUUUGCUCAAUAAUAGAAUUUUCAUGCAAGUAUUUUUACAAAUAUGUGUAAAACAAACAAAAACGAACCUGAGAGAUGGUGUUUUAAGUCUCCAUUGGCCAUGUAUUCAUAGAUGAGCACCAUAUGGCUGGGUUCCUCGCAGUAUCCGACGAGGGUAGUCAAGUUUUUGUGAUGAACUCUCAAAAGAAGUUUAACCUGCCAUGGAAAUACACACUUUGUAGUAUUGUCUCCCAGGGAGUGAAGAGAAAAGUUUGUACAAGAGAUCGAUGCCUUUACACAUGAUCAUACUACCUCGGCCUGGAACUCUUUGUAGCCUUGAACUGAGGAUGGAGAAAGCGUCUUUACAGCUACUUCAGUAUCACCCAAGAGGCCAUGGUAAACGGUUCCAAAUCCUCCCCUGCCAAGAACUCUUUCAAAGUUAUUGGUCAUUUCCAGGACUUUAGAGUAGGUGAAUUGUCGUUUUCUUGACUCUAAUAUCCUCGCUUGAGCUUCCAUCAUCUCACCAGCUACUGUAAUGUGUAAAUAGGAAUAUUGUGAUGAGGUUGAAAUAUUUAUUACUAAACUAAAGUUAUAAAUAUAUGUACCUGCUGCUUGUUUCUUUCUUCUUUUAAGGCAUAUUGCCAGUGAUAUUGCUGCUACUAUCGCAAAUAAUGCAGAAACCGAUACUGUUACUGGAACAACGUAAUUCUUCUUGUUAUUAUCAUUGCAUGAAUCCAAUGCACAAAGUUCUGGAUUUCCGUCAACACUGGAGUUGAUAACGACAAAACAUGAGAAUUCUUUUUAUAUUAUGAACAAGCCGGAUCAUGGCUAAGCUUCGGCUCACCUUGUCUGGCUUCGGCCGGGCCACCUUUUCUUGAUUUUUAAUAUUUAUUCCAUGAAAUUAUUGGUUGCUUCCUAAAUAUAUUGAGUUAUAAUGCUCUUUAUAUGUAUAUAUAUAUAUAUAUGUUGACCAGCUCUUUAUAGAUUAAGAAAGAUAAAUUUCAUAUUUAUAUGAGUUGGGUUUUGUCUUGCUAAGUUUUUCCUAAAUAUAAUUUUGUAAAAUCUUUCUUUAUCAAAAAAAAAAAAAUCUUAUUCGUUUCUCUAUGAAUUCACUUAUAAUUUUGCAAGAGAAAAAAUGGUGAAAAAAAUGAAAAUUAUUUGGCAGUAAGAUCAGAAAAUGAAUCGGAUAUGUAUCUUCAUAAAAGGUAAUAGGACUAUGGAAACUAAACCUUAGCAAUAGCAAGCCAUUUUGCCUUCUCUUUAAGAGGUCAACUGGAAUUCUACCUGUGAGCCUGUUGCCUGUCAGGUUUCUAAAGAAGCAUAAAAAAGAGGGACUCAUAUGAGAAUUUCUUUAUAACAAAACUUUCAGAUUCAAUUGAAUCACAAAAGUACUUACAGUACUUCCAAGGACACCAACUUAGAGAGAAAAUCAGGCACAGGUCCAAUUAAACUAUUGUUUGAUAAGUCCCUGGCAUAUUAUAAUAUUAGUCAGAACUGAAUUUUUUUCAUACAUCAAAUUCAGAAUUCAUUUUCAAUCAGAUUAGCUAGAAUACUCACAGAGAUCUUAGCGAUUUCAGAUUGGCUAUAUCAGAAGCUAUCUCACCUGUCAAUCCGCUGGAGGAUAAGUUCCUAAAUGAAUUUUCAAUAAUACUCGUUAUUACAAGAUGGAAUUGAGAAGAAAAAUCAAUUACGCAAAAACCCAGAAGACAUAAACUUACAGUGAUGUGAUUAUAGGUGCUGUCCCAUUAUAGCUGCAGUUAAGACCAUCCCACACAUACUCCUGAGGAGCACAUGGAUCUCCUUGCCAGUUUCUGCUUAUUCCAUACGUUGACUUGAUGCUCAUGAUUGCGUCAACUAUUACAUGUUCAAUUGCAUAUAUAAUCCAUAUACGCAAUUAAUCCCAACAGAUAAACACUGGAAAGUAUUUAACAUAUAAUACUAUAUAAUAAAUUACAUACUAUCAGGUCUGCUUGUUUCUGAUUGUAAGAGCUCAAUCAAGUAAUAAACUUCAACUGCAUUAAGAAGAGGCGGCAGAGUUGACCCAUCAACUUUGAAGAGGGAAAAGAGAUAGUCUCCUCCAGUGAUGGCUGAUUGGCUGUAUGCAGUGCUUGUAUACAAGUAAAGAGGAAUAAUAGGUCCGAACCAGAUGGUUCCAUUUCGAGAAAUGUUGAAUUUACGCGACUGGUUAGCUUCAAGCUUCACAACAUCGGCGAAGUGCAUGUACAUAUAAAAUUGGAAAUUUUUGUAUUUCACGCUAUCGCCUAUGGAUAGUUGCAAGGGAUUGCUGCUGUUUGCUGGUAUAACUGCGCUCCUCAUCACGAUUGGCGGCGGCUGGUAAUCGUUAUGGCUUCCGACAUCAAUAGUGAGAUUGGUACUUAUGUCUGUCAGUUGGAUUAAAUGAAAGGGAUACCAGAAACGAUCAAAGAUAUCAUAAGGAUACCUGAGGAGACAUACACAUAUGCUUGUUAGAAAACUACAUUACAACUUUGAAUCCUAGUUAGAGUACAAUGAUUUAAUCACCUGACAUGAUCUUGAUUACUUAUUGAACCAAGGUCCAGCCGUUGUCCGAUUAAGGCAAGCGCUCCAGCUCCAGACUGAGUUACAUACGUAGUAUUUCUCAAAGGCCUUAAUUCCAAUGCUGAAAUAAAUGGAGUUUCAGAGUUUAUAUUUACAAGACAUAUACAUAUGUAACUCACUGAAGCAUCAUAUAUGAUCUCCUCUAUUACAGGAGUGGAUGUAUUUUGUAUUUGCACUGUAACCCAUUUGUUAGGUCCUAUGUGCAGGUCAAAUUCCGGCAGCUGAUUUAAAUUAUCGUAAUUUCCAUACAUAAAAGUGGCUCUGAUCAAAUAUUUGGUAUUUGCAGUAACCGUUACGUUGUAGCAAUUUCUGAUGCCCUGAGGAAAGCUCCUGACGUACCAAAGCUGCCUGUCAAUGCUAUUUGUACUGAAUUCAGGUGGCAAGCUCCUAGCUACGCCGCUGUAAAUGAAGUACGCAUCUGAAAUGUAAUAUAGGCUGGUUUUUUCAUCAGAAUAGCUAGUAUUUGCUGGCAACCCACAGUCAAGGCUGAUAAAGUCUGAAAAAGGAGACAUGUGGUUAGCAAAAAUGAAAAAAUUUCAACAAUUCAAACUGAUAUCAAGAGGUUGGGAUUUGUGUAUAGACCUGAUUGAUCCUGGCCCUGAGCCUGCAGAAUUGCAAGUGAAAAAAAACCAAGGACAAGAAAUUUGAUCUCCAUAGUUUGUUCUUGCUUGGAAGAAUAUAGAAAUAAUAGAUAGCCUCUCCAUUUUUAUACUACCAAAAUCAUAUGGAUGAACCUACAGUGACCAAGUCGAUAGUGAGAUAUGGUGAUAUAUACAUAUAUAUUGAAGUUUGGUGACUAGGUCAAUUGUAAUUACGGCUUUAAUUUUUUUUUUCUCAACUAGGCUUUAAAUUAAUCUAUGCAAGAGUUGGGUCAAUUCAAUUAUUAGAAUAAAAAUUAAUAGUGUAAAUUUUAAUGAAAUAGGUAAUGUUUGAAAUUUUCAUUAUCGACUUUUUUUUUUAAUUUUAAAUGAGCAGGUAAUGUGGUCUGCAAUCUAACUCCUUAUANNNNNNNNNNNNNNNNNNNNNNNNNNNNNNNNNNNNNNNNNNNNNNNNNNNNNNNNNNNNNNNNNNNNNNNNNNNNNNNNNNNNNNNNNNNNNNNNNNNNNNNNNNNNNNNNNNNNNNNNAAAGAAAAAUCUGUAAAAUUUAAUUGAAAAGUAAAUGUAAAUAACCCGAAAACUAAUUUUCCGUUUGUUUCAAUUAUUUAUCUGCACGUAUACAUCCAAUCACUAUAGAAUAAUUUUCAAAAAGAAUGUAUACAUCCAAUCAAUUCUCAUUUUCUCUUAUGGAUAUGUCCAUAGCAACUCAAAGUCGCCUAAUCUUAGACGAUAGAAAAUUGCAUAGUUUAACUAUGAAAAUGAACAAGAGAAACAAAAAUGCUACGGCCAUCAACAGCACAAAAACCAAGACGAUCUCUGAGGUUACUUCAUCCAAGAUGGUGGAAAGCAGUGCGUUCUUCAUGGUUGAAGAAAUGGAGCAACGUAAAGCUUGAUCGAAGAGGAGAAGUGAAAUAUAUAUGAAAGCUGCUUAUGAUAUUGUGUGCUUCCAUUGUUGCAAAUAUUUAUAAUAAUGAAUACAUG
rnacentral:lncRNA from 1 species